GUUUCGUUCAAACAUCUUUCUGUACCUCUCAUACAACAAAAUUAAGCUUUAUUUCUUAUUUUCCCCCAUUUUAUGUUUAAAUUGGUUAGUGGACGUUUUUUCAACAGAUAGUCAGUCUGUAUUUUAAUGUUUCUUAAAUUAAUGAUUUUAGAUUGUCUUUCUACAUUUUUAUCAAACGAAUGUACAAAGAUUUAUUACCGUGUCUGAAAUAUAACUGUUACAAAUGACAUUUAAUUUCUAGUUUAACUAAAAAAACACGAUACUUUCUGUAAUAAAU
rnacentral:lncRNA from 1 species